UACGAAGGGGGCUAGCGUUGCUCGGAAUCACUGGGCGUAAAGCGCGCGUAGGCGGCUUGAUAAGUCAGGGGUGAAAUCCUGGAGCUCAACUCCAGAACUGCCUUUGAUACUGGCGAGCUCGAGUCCGGGAGAGGUGAGUGGAACUGCGAGUGUAGAGGUGAAAUUCGUAGAUAUUCGCAAGAACACCAGUGGCGAAGGCGGCUCACUGGCCCGGUACUGACGCUGAGGUGCGAAAGCGUGGGGAGCAAACGGG
rnacentral:rRNA from 1 species